rnacentral:sRNA from 1 species
AUACCAGGGUUCAAAAGCUCAUGCAUUGAGCGUGCUUGCACGCAGAAAUGCAUGGAUUUGGAACCCGCCCAAACAUGAGAAAGAAGCAAGUUCCAUUAAGACACUAUGAACAACGUGAAUAGUGAAUUAAUGAACGCCGCGGAUUUCGAAUGUUUGCAGAAUUGCGAAAGCUGCAAGGCAGCGGAGCAAUUCGUCAG